GUAUCUGUAGCGCAAUCGGUUAGCGCGUUCGGCUGUUAACUGAAAGGUUGGUGGUUCAAGCCCACCCAGGGACG
rfam:Danio rerio chromosome 4, GRCz11 reference primary assembly.